rnacentral:rRNA from 1 species
GACGAACGCUGGCGGCGUGCCUAAUACAUGCAAGUCGAGCGAGCGGAACUAACAGAUUUACUUCGGUAAUGACGUUAGGAAAGCGAGCGGCGGAUGGGUGAGUAACACGUGGGGAACCUGCCCCAUAGUCUGGGAUACCACUUGGAAACAGGUGCUAAUACCGGAUAAGAAAGCAGAUCGCAUGAUCAGCUUUUAAAAGGCGGCGUAAGCUGUCGCUAUGGGAUGGCCCCGCGGUGCAUCAGCUAGUUGGUAAGGUAAAGGCUUACCAAGGCGAUGAUGCAUAGCCGAGUUGAGAGACUGAUCGGCCACAUUGGGACUGAGACACGGCCCAAACUCCUACGGGAGGCAGCAGUAGGGAAUCUUCCACAAAGGACGCAAGUCUGAUGGAGCAACGCCGCGUGAGUGAAGAAGGUUUUCGGAUCGUAAAGCUCUGUUGUUGGUGAAGAAGGAUAGAGGUAGUAACUGGCCUUUAUUUGACGGUAAUCAACCAGAAAGUCACGGCUAACUACGUG